rnacentral:misc_RNA from 1 species
CAAAAAGCGGUUCUCAAAUUUUAUUGUGUAAAAUUUGACAGAUUUAUCAAGUCUAACGAAUAAAUGUUGGUAUAAAUGAUAACUAAAGUUUCAAGGUCAGGUGUUUUGAUUGUUUGAUCGUUUUAAGAUUGACAAGCCUUCUCACUUCUUCAAUAAUGUACAAGG